AAGUUUACGUGAAAUUUUUAAUAAAUAAAAAGCAUCGUACCUAUAAUUAAUGAAAAGAUGGUAUAACCUUUAAAAACUGGUUUGCAUUAAUUAACUACGCACAAAUAUUGAGUAUUGUUUACCAAAAACGAACUGUCUUAUAGUAGGUUAACAAAUUGCAAAAUCAUUUUUUGUCUUGAUCCAGCUUGAAAUUGAAUUGGGUUGUUCACUUCUACCAA